rnacentral:rRNA from 1 species
UGGGGAAUAUUGCACAAUGGGCGAAAGCCUGAUGCAGCAACGCCGCGUGAGUGAUGAAGGCCUUCGGGUUGUAAAGCUCUGUCUUUUGGGACGAUAAUGACGGUACCAAAGGAGGAAGCCACGGCUAACUACGUGCCAGCAGCCGCGGUAAUACGUAGGUGGCAAGCGUUGUCCGGAUUUACUGGGCGUAAAGGAUGCGUAGGCGGAUUUUUAAGUGAGAUGUGAAAACCCUAAGCUUAACUUGGGACUGCAUUUCAUACUGGAAAUCUAGAGUGCGGGAGAGGAGAAUGGAAUUCCUAGUGUAGCGGUGAAAUGCGUAGAGAUUAGGAAGAACACCAGUGGCGAAGGCGAUUCUCUGGACCGUAACUGACGCUGAGGCAUGAAAGCGUGGGUAGCAAACAGGAUUAGAUACCCUGGUAGUCCACGCCGUAAACGAUGAGUACUAGGUGUAGGAGGUAUCGACCCCUUCUGUGCCGCAGUUAACACAAUAAGUACUCCGCCUGGGAAGUACGAUCGCAAGAUUAAAACUCAAAGGAAUUGAC